AUUGAACGCUGGCGGCAGGCCUAACACAUGCAAGUCGAACGAGUGGCGGACGGGUGAGUAAUGUCUGGGAAACUGCCUGAUGGAGGGGGAUAACUACUGGAAACGGUAGCUAAUACCGCAUACCAUAAGAUGAGCCAAGAUGGGAUUAGCUAGUUUGUGGGGUAAUGGCUCACAAAGGCGACGAUCCCUAGCUGGUCUGAGAGGAUGACCAGCCACACUGGAACGUAUACACGGGCCAGACUCCUACGGGAGGCAGCAGUGGGGAAUAUUGCACAAUGGGCGCAAGCCUGAUGCAGCCAGGCCGCGUGUAUGAAGAAGGCCUUCGGGUUGUAAAGUACUUUCAGCGGGGAGGCGUUACCCGCAGAAGAAGCACCGGCUAACUCCGUGCCAGCAGCCGCGGUAAUUC
rnacentral:rRNA from 1 species